AUAAUUGAGAGUUUGAUCCUGGCUCAGGAUAAACGCUGGCGGCGUGCAUAACACAUGCAAGUCGAACGAUGAAACUUGGCUGAUUUCUUCGGAAUGAAAUUAAGUGGAUUAGUGGCGAACGGGUGAGUAACACGUGAGUAACCUGCCUUACACAAGGGGAUAGCCUUUGGAAACGAAGAAUAAUACCCUAUAAAGUCAAAAUAUCGCAUGAUAAAAUGACCAAAGAUUUAUCGGUGUAAGAUGGACUUGCGUCUGAUUAGCUAGUUGGUGAGAUAAAAGCCCACCAAGGCGACGAUCAGUAGCCGGCUUGAGAGAGUGUACGGCCACAUUGGGACUGAGACACGGCCCAAACUCCUACGGGAGGCAGCAGUGGGGAAUUUUGCACAAUGGGGGAAACCCUGAUGCAGCGACGCCGCGUGAUUUAGAAGGCCUUCGGGUUGUAAAAAUCUUUUUAUGGGAUGAAAAUGACAGUACCAUAAGAAUAAGGUCCGGCUAAAUACGUGCCAGCAGCCGCGGUAAUACGUAUGGACCGAGCGUUGUCCGGAAUCAUUGGGCGUAAAGGGUACGUAGGCGGCCUAGUAAGUUAGAAGUGAAAUAAUAUAGCUCAACUAUAUAAAGCUUUUAAAACUGUUAGGCUUGAGAGAUGAAAGGGAAAGUGGAAUUCCUAGUGUAGCGGUGAAAUGCGCAGAUAUUAGGAAGAAUACCGGUGGCGAAGGCGACUUUCUGGUCAUCAUCUGACGCUGAGGUACGAAAGCGUGGGUAGCAAACAGGAUUAGAUACCCUGGUAGUCCACGCUGUAAACGAUGAGUGUUAGGUUCUUGGAAUAAUCUGGGAGCCGCAGCUAACGCAUUAAACACUCCGCCUGGGGAGUACGCACGCAAGUGUGAAACUCAAAGGAAUUGACGGGGACCCGCACAAGCAGCGGAGCAUGUGGUUUAAUUCGACGCAACGCGAAGAACCUUACCAAGUCUUGACAUAAUACGGAGGGAAUUAGAGAUAAUUUUCUAUGACUUCGGUCUACUGUAUUACAGGUGGUGCAUGGUUGUCGUCAGCUCGUGUCGUGAGAUGUUGGGUUAAGUCCCAUAACGAGCGCAACCCCUAUCGUUAGUUACCAUCAUUAAGUUGGGGACUCUAGCGAUACUGCCGGUGAUAAACCGGAGGAAGGUGGGGACGACGUCAAAUCAUCAUGCCCUUUAUGACUUGGGCUACACACGUGCUACAAUGGCAGAUACAGAGGGCAGCGAAAGAGCGAUCUGAAGCGAAACUCACAAAGUCUGUCCCAGUUCGGAUUGUACUCUGCAACUCGAGUACAUGAAGUUGGAGUUGCUAGUAAUCGCGAAUCAGAAUGUCGCGGUGAAUGCGUUCCCGGGUCUUGUACACACCGCCCGUCACACCAUGGGAGUUGGCAAUACCCGAAGCCUGUGAGCGAACCUUUUAGGACGCAGCAGUCGAAGGUAGGGUCAGUAACUGGGGUGAAGUCGUAACAAGGUAGCCGUAUCGGAAGGUGCGGCUGGAUCACCUCCUUU
rnacentral:rRNA from 1 species